UAACCCUAUUAUAUUCUUACCUAAAUAUGAGAGGCGCGGAUGGAUAACUCCUAAGGUUAACACUUUAGAGUUCACUUCACGUCAAACCACCACGUGAGGGUGAACUUAGCCAACGUCAAGGAACGAUUAUGUUUUUAAAAUAAAAACCUGAUUUAUGCAUACAUAACUUUUUAACAGUCUUGGCGAACUCGGUUGGGAUAGCCCUCGAUCAAGGUAUCCCUAAUAACUGGGUAUGAGAAUGAUUUUGGCACGAGCCAAAGUUUUAAGAAAUUCAUAAGCCAUGUUGAUUUCUCGGAUUAUAUGAAUUUAUUUUAUUUGGUUGAAACAAGUUGAAAGGUGAUGAAUUACAAUAUGUUAAACCAUUUUAUUUUUCUCCAUUUACUUGGCUUUAGAUAUUUUAGAUGGUAUUUGUUUACUCAUCGGGAUUAUAUAAUCUCACCACCCUCUUUUUCACCCAUUUCAGGCUCAGAAUAGGCUGUAGAUAGCUGAUUUUAUCGAAGCUACCAUUGGAUUUGCAUCCUCCAAACUGUAGGUACACAAUCUUCCUUACUUUUAGUUAUUCGAGGGCCCACUGGUUAUUGUAAAUUAAGUUAAAUACUUUGGCUUACUGUAUUACAAUAUGUAUGAAUUUAUUUUGCUUUUACGUUGCUACAAAAAAAUUAUUUACGUAUAACUCUAAUGAUAUUGUUUUAUAAGAAAAUAAAAUAUUUUAUUAAAUAUUUUUUUUAUUUUUUUAUUAUAUCCAAAUAAUAAUAAUUUCAUUUUAAAUGAAGGUUUUAGAUGUUUAAACUUAUUUUUUAUUAUGAAUUAUGCAUUUUGUACUCGCAUACUACAUUUUUAACGGAUUUUGAGAUUAAUGAGGAAAAAUGACCAAAAUGCCCUGUGAGAAAAAAUUUGUUUUUCUAUUGUUUUAAUUUGAAAAUAGUUUAUAAUCUCUCAAAAAAUAAUUUUAGUGACUAAUACUCACAGGGGAAGCGAGAAAAACUGAUGUUAAGCCUUGCGAGGUUUCGAUUGACAUUUCGGGUAAUUAAUGUCUAUCGGGACAUCGCGAUGGUUGUCACGGGCUCGAUGGGAGUUCCGAGUCGUGACAAAACAGUCAACCCUCAAUCCUAUCCCUUUGUCUGAUUUUGACCCAUGACUUCACUCUUAGCCAUAGCUUUUAAUUUGAAUUUUAUUGAGCUAUUUGAUAGAACCAUACCUUUUGCUCCUUUUUGAGAUUUGUCUUUGGGUGUUGCAAACUCAUCAUUGCUUUCGCUCUUCCACCACUACUACUAUUGCAAUUGGUGAUCACCGACCCCUUGAAUCUCUCUUCAGCAUUCAUUGAAUCUUUUCUUGUGCAAUAUGCCUCCAAUUGUAACUUGUUUUGACACUGACUAUAUUGACCCGUAUACUAAGUUUCUUGCCUACAACUUCCAUAUAAAAUCCAUUAAGGAUAAAAAAUCUACUCUUACCUUAACCAAUAUAAAUGCUUCAUCAAACCUCUCCCUUUUAAAAGUACCUUUAUCCACCGUUAGGAACUCCCUCUAACACUUUCCAAUGGUCUCUUGAAUGUGUUGAUGUCCCAUGCAUGAAUGGACACUUCACAUAAUCGGACCCAUAGUUUAACCUCCCUUGUAUCAUUAAGAAUUGAGACAAGAAUUAAUGAUUUGAACCACUUCUCCGUCAGCUUUAUUAGCCUUGAGUUACAUUAUGUUUGGAUUUGACAAAAAUCAUAUGUUAUCUUAAAGUUAAUAUCCAGCAUUUGAAAUUGUCUCAAAUAUAUUUUUAAUCCAUUAAGGUUACAUAUUUGUUUGAAAAGCCACGUAUCAUUAGAAAUCACCUUAUAAGCUUUCAAACCAUGCAUAUGCAGCUAAGAAUGCAAGAGCAAACAUGCCUUGAAUUGUCGUUUAAUUAUAAAAACAAGGCAAGGAAGAAGUAACUGGAGAGAAACACCAAAAAGUUAAAGAAACCUCAAGACACAAGUCAAGAGUCGAUCCUAAAAAUGCUCAAGUCGAUCUAAAGGCUGAAAAGUGCAAAACUUGAAUAAUAUAAAGCCAUAAUUGACCUUAAAGUGCCUAUAGUCGACCUUGUUCCAAAAAGAUCAAGAAAAUCAAGUUUUGAAUAGACAUAGUAGAUCUUGGCCAAAGCAUAAUCGACCUUGACAAGUUAAAAACAAAGAAAAGUCAACUUUACAUAACAUAAUCGACUAUAAAGGAAACAUAGUUAACUAUAGUAGUCCAAACUUGCAAAAAACAUGCUUUCGAGAGUUAGAUCAACUAAAGGAAGGUUACAUUCAAUUAUAAAAGUCCUAAUUUGAGAAAUUUUAAGAACAUAGUUGACCCUAGGAGCUUUAUAGUCGACCUUUAAGCUUUAACAAUGGUUAAAUUUGAUUCAAACUUGUGUCAAACGGCUCCAAACUCUGCCUCAGCCAUAAAUAAACGUAUUUGAGCCAUUUGGAAGUAAGAGAAGACUUAAACCAAAGCUUCAAACCUUGAAAGACCAUUAAAAGCUCAUCUUCAUGCUCUAGCAUCUUUGUAGUCUUCCACUUAACUUGCAAAGUUGAAUACGUGCUUCAUUUGAGCUUAUCAUUCUUUUCUUACUACAUCUAAGCUAAAAUCUCUAGCAUCCAACCUUUGCAAGGCAAAUCUUCGCUAUUAUUUAUUUGUACACACAUCUCAUAAAGGCUCUAGCUUAAUCUUGAAAAGCUAUUUGUGAGGGUUUGUUGUUGAGCUUUAAAAACCAUUAUUGUUGGGUUAUCAUUUCAUCUCGUUAAACAGUAAGAAUCCCUUUGUGGAUUGUGUAAAGGUUAUUGCUUAAUCCCGUGAAAAAGCUAUUGGAAGGAUUGUUGCUUGAUCCCAUUAGAAAGAAAGAAUCCAUUUAUGGAUUAUAUGAGGGUUAUCGCUUUGUUCCGUUAAAAAGUAAGAAUCCUUGAUAGUGGAUUGAAAUUCUUUGUUUUCCAAAGGAGUGGAUGUAGACAUCAAAAAAGCUAAACCAUUAUAAAUUCUUUGUCUCUUUCUAAUUUUUUCUUUAUUAUUUAUUGUUUAUAUUUGCCUUAGGAAAAUAGUUUUAUAUUGAUUUUUUAUUUUACACUUAGAAAAAUAUUUUUCCUUUUACUUUUCAUAGCUAGCAUUUAACUUAGAAAAAAUAUUUUAUCUUAGUGUAUUAUUUUUGCGCUUAGUGAUUUAUUGUUGGAAGAUUAUUUUUUGAUGCUAGGAAAUAUUUUUUGCUGAAAAAGUUUUGAUCUUUAUAACUAGAUUUUUAAAAAAAAUUUAUAAAUACCAAUUCACCCCUUCUUGGUACACUUCACUUUGAGACUUCUACACUAACAAGCUCCUAGUAAUGUUCGAUCAUAACCUUUAUCUCACCUAGUUCUUCAAACAUUACAAGGAUGGUCAUCCUUUUUAAAACUCUAACUUGAACAUUAACUCUUUCUCUAUUCAAUCCAGAUUGAAUUGCAUUGUAAUCCACCUUUUUUUUUAAUGUUCCCACUGCACUUUUCUGCACCCACUCCAUAUCCUCGUCGGGGACAUUUGUGCUAACUACAACUACAUUAAUUGUGCUUUUUUUUUUGUUGCCAUUCCUCUAUUCUUGCUCCACUUCUAUUUUUGCAACUUUGGGUCCACCUUUUGGUCCGCUACCUCUUUUAAGCACUUCUCUAUAUUUAUCUUCUCAAUAAGUUUAGCCUUAUAUUAUUCUUUCUCCCUUGCUUCUUUGCUCGCCACUACUUCCUUGUAUGACCGCCCACCAAACCCUUAUCCCAUGAACUUAGGUUAUGAACCUUUAUUUCCUUGAUCUUCAAAUCCUUUCUCAACGACUUGAUUCUCCUCACCGCUAGACACUUCCCAUCCAUCCACUGAUGACCUCCCCAUUUUAAUGCCUUUUCUAGUUUUUAACUUUCCUUAUACUUGAUGAAGGCAAAGUUUGCCUCCCUCCUUGAAUCUUGGUGAACUUUCCUUAGGAUGAAAACAUCAACCACAUUCUCAUAUUCCUCAAAGGCUCCCUCGAUAGUUAAACAAGUUAGUCUUUUACUCAAAUUAUCCAUAAACAAAGAUUGAAGACUAUCCAACCAUCUUCUACCAAUUCUCCUCUCAUCUCCGAUCAGCCUUUAACACGUAUAAAUUCACCAAUUAUUGAAUUGAUGCAUUCAUUUUUCUCUUUUAUUUUUCCUUUAGUUUUCAUUGCUUCAACCUUUUUUUUUUCUCUCUCAAGUGUUGAAUUUCGCUCUUUUUCUCACAAGUUCUCUCUUUAUGUUCUUUUUUUUUUUCUUUUGGUAUCUAUCUUUCUUCUCUUUUCCCAUCGACUUAUCUCUUCAUCCCUUCCCAAUCCUUUUAAGGUAACAAGAAAUCCUUGCCUUAGUCUAUCCCAUCCCCACACUCGCUAAAGCACUCAUGCACUUCCCCUUCAGCUCAAUAACCCCACUUUAAUCUCCCUUUAAGUUCACCAUAUACAUGACUUCUCUCUUCCCUCUCCCAUACAAACGUCCUCCACCUUGAAGCUCAACAUUCAUACACACGAGUACAAAACCCUUCCUCGACACACCCUUCCCUUUGUUUGGUUGCAUGUUCCAUUUGCUGUAUGAAAGGUAAUGGCAACUAAGAGUUUUUCAAAGGAAGAACAAACUAAUGACUAAUGUGUUUAAGUGGGAGAUGUUGGAAUCUAGAUCGAGUCAAGUGGAUUCUAACUCAUUCAUACAUCUACAUAAAGCAUAACUUUAGUUCCUAUUUAGAGUUGUUAACUCUUAAUUAGAGUUAAAGUCAGAAUCCAUUCCUGAUUUCUGAUAUUUGCUAUAUAAAUAGACACAUAUACUUUUGAAAAUUAAAUCAAAUGAAAAUCUCAAUAACACUAGUAAUAAUUUUCUCUUCUAAACUCUCUUUUGUUUAAUCUUUGGAUGUCCACCAAAAACCUUAGAAUUUGGAGUGUAGAAAUUUGUGGACAACGCUAGUAAAGACUUUGUACACAAGGAGAUUAAAAAGUUAUACAAUAGUAUACCAAGAAUACAUCUUUGGAGGUUCGUAUAACAUAUAUCGGUUACUUGAUUUGGGAAUUUGGAUUGGCAUUAACCUAUUAGUUUGCUUCACUUCCAAAUGUGAAAAUGAUUAUUUUUAGGGAUUACAUGAAAAGUUAACAUAUCUUUACAUUUUAUUACCACUAAGCUUUACUAUCUUACCAGAAAAAAAAAAAAAGCCAUACUAUUGUUUUUCCUUCUCUCUUGUCAGCAACUUAGUUCCCAUUUUCAGUCAAUCAUGGCAUAAAUAUAAAAACAAGGAUAGGCAAACAUCCCAAAAUGCACGGUCGUAUUAUGCAUCGAAGGAGUGAUAUAUGACAAUUUUUUAAUUGGACGUACCAAUGUAUUUGACUAUGCAUUUAGAAAUUUGAAACAUGACAUUUUGGGAACAAAUUAAGUCGACCAGCAUAUCUUCACAUCUGCAUUCUUUCACGUGAUCCUACAACAAACCAAUGAGAUCAGAUUAUGCUAAUCGCAACAGCCCUCUGCAUCUGAAUGCCUUGGGAAGUUGGAAUGAUGCAUUUGAAGAUUUAAUUUUUAAAGACUGAUAGUGCAUUUUUGGGGAACAAAAAGAUUUUCUGACAUCUGAUCCAACUUGCAUCAGCAAGAUUCUAUUUAUUAAAAUAUGGAUAAACUUGUAUUUAUUUAUAUAAGAUAAAAUUCAAAAACUAAAGCUGUCAACGUCCCCAACAAACAAAGGGGUGCUAGAAGUCAUUACCAAUUGAAGAACCUAAGGAAGAUGAUCCAUACCGGAAAAUUGACUUUAAGGGCACUCAUUGCUCUUUUUCAGACUUUUUCAUUGUUGGGAUUCAAACCCAGUUGUCACGCAGACAUAAAGUUAACACAAAUUCUUGGGUUUUACACAAAAAAAUUCAUCUUUUCACCAUUCUUUUCUGCUGGUGGAUUCUUCAAAGUUUGGUUCCGAGUGGUUCUUCAAGAAGCACACAAAUCAAGGCAACCUUUGUCAUGCAUAACCGUCUGUUUUUCUUUCACAUGUCCUAAUACUUUCUUCAACUUCAUGUUAGACGGCAAGAAGUUCGAUUAGUUAACCUUGUGAAGCACAUCACGUGGAUACCAUGCACAUUGUUAAUUAGCUCAAAAAUGGCUUCUCAAACCAGUAUUAGUUGUUGGGUGUUUCGGGAAAAAGAAAAGAACUUUUGAAUUUAAAUAGUCGACAUAACUGGUUGAUCAAGAGAAGCCGGCAAGGUAAAAGAGGUGUCAGAAACACAUGUCCCAAUUCAAUUUCCCAUCGGGGCCCUCUAAACUCAAGCCGCCCCAUCCCUUGCCUGGUGGUACGUGGCGUUAGGAAAUACUCAUCGCUGUGGGGGCAAAGGCCAAAUGGCUAGUGACGAACGAAAAAACAUGCAACUGCAUAGUACCAUUUGUGAGUUACCCGAAGAGUGAAUAAAGGACAAGCAUAUCUGAUAUUACAGCAUAUAAAUUUGCUUACAAGUGGAACUUAAACUUUGUGCAGUAAUAAGAGGAGUGCGGAGUGAUAUCCUAGAGGUAAGGUGCGGAGCAAAAGGGCUAAAUCAUUAACUUAAUAGAGUGACGACCAAAAUGACUGAUCUUCCACCGGUAAUGCAAAAUUACAUGAACUGGCCGGUGCGUCAUAGUAACAGUCAACUUCAAAUUUUGGGAAGAAUGGUGGGUGCAGAAGGCUCUUGCUGAGAUUAUCUUCUUCGUCUUGGGAAAAAUCCGAUUGAUCUGGCUCAAAAGCAUUGGAUGAAUCCGCAGGCUCUAUCAAUGAAGAAUGAUUCCCAUCUGUGUAAUGAGGGCUAUCUGAGUCAAAAACAUCACUCUUAGCUGAACAUGCUUCUUCCUGUUUGCAGGCCGGCGAUGGCACACGAGACACAUUUUCAGGAGAUGUAUCACAAUUGGGUUUUUUGGAUUCUGCAUUAGAUGAAUUUAUGGCAUCAAGAGAUCCCGAAUUUUCCAUCCCUUCCUCUCCAUUAAGCAGUUUCUCUUUGAGUGCAAGCACCUGUUGCAUAGCAAAAUAGAACCAUCAGUUUUGAGUAAUUACUGGAGCUAAUUACUAAUUUAAAAUAGCAAAUGCUGAGUUGUCUUAGGUGAAAGGUUUACCUCAUUUCCCAAAUCCUCCUUCUCCUUAAGGAGAUUGUCAUAGUCAGUCUUGAGCUCAUCAUAGCUGGCUUUCAAGGAAUCAUAGUCCUUUUCCAGCUGUUUGUUCUUAAAUCGAGCACGCCGAUUUUGAAACCAAAUUGCAACUUGGCGGGGCUGUAAGCCAAGUUCUUUUGCAAGUUGCACUUUUCUCUCUGGUUCAAGUUUGUUCUCAACCUCAAAGCUCCUCUCAAGAAACUGAACUUGGGUAGCUGUAAGCCGCCUUUUCUUUGCUGGUGGGCGAUAUGAUCCAUGAAAAUCAUCAUCUCCACUCUCUUCUUUGUCAAGCGGUUGGAAGAAUAGCAUAUCUGUGGUCUCGACUCCAUUAACAUUCUCAUAAUUAAUGAUAGGCUUCUGACCUAAUUAAAUCAGAGACCAUAGACACAAAAAAUCAGAUGAAUCUAACCGUUUCUAAUUUGUAGGAGCAAUAUAUAAUACCAAUCUUCUGAUCUUUUUACAAAGUUCAUUAUCAGGUAUUCUCAAGGAAGGAUUUUUCAUGGCUUUUUUUUUCAAUUCAGAUAUAGUGAUCUAACAUGCUUUAUCACAAAGCAGAUCAUAAAUGGAGUUCCCCAUUCUGUUUCAGUUCAAAAUGUUGACGUCCGGAGUCAAAGAAAGAGAUUUUAAUAACCAAAGAUGGAAACAACACAAAGUGCAAUAAGAAGAACUUUAUGUAAUGGCUUCAAACUUUUCCUUUUUACUACUAAGUCUACUAAGUCUUACAAAUUACGAUGGUUACUCUGUUUAAAAAGAGAUAUGAAGAAGCUAAAGACUUUGUUGUUGAUUAACUUUCCUACUCCCAAAAAAAUCAUUCAACAGCAUAACAUAAAUCACAAUAAGAAGCAAGUAAAGGAAAAUAAAAUUGGGAAAAUCUCAAGCUACAUGAAAAACAAGAACAGUCCAACUUUGACACAAGAAUGGACGCCAACAAGCAACCAGACAAAACCCAUUACUAAAAUUUAAAUAUACAACAAUCAAAAAGAAAAUCAAAAGCAAAGAACAAGAGAGAUAAUAGCUCUCAAAGACAAAAGAAGCAGCAACAGAAAAAAAAAUAGAUGCAGAGAGGAAAACAAAAUUACCCCGGAGAGCAGAGGUAGAUGAGGGUAUCCACAAAGAUUCCAUAACCUCAGAGGAACAAGAAAGCUGUUCACUAUGAAUCAAAGCAUUCAUGUUUGAGCUACCACAGAUUUUUCCACCCUCCAUAGUCGCCUUUGGUUUUUAUUAUCUUUUUGUGUGUGGUUUUGUGGGAUUCCCAGAGGCCUAAAAGAUUAUAUCUUUGAGAAAAGAAACAUUAAUCGUGUGUUUCAGUUUGAUCUAUGACUUGUCAUGCAAAAAAUUGUGAUGGGAAUCACUGUAAUGUGGAAAACUGGAAAGCAAGAAAAGCUUAUAUCCAUAACUCAGUAGAAGAGACACUGGCCAAGCUUCAAACUUUAAAUCCAGAGAAGAAAAAGGAAAAAACUAGUUCAGCUUUCAAAUUGAGUGACAGAGAGCUUGAAAGUUUUCUUUUUCAAGUAGUGUUCCAAGCACAGGGAGCUUGUGUAAAAUAAAAGUUGAAAACUUGAAGAGAGAUUCCCCUUGGGAGACUGUGGUGGCAAGGGCCUGAUGGGGGUUUAAAUGAAGCUUGGGGUGAAGGGACAGAGGGGGGAGCUUGGCCUUUUUUUUUUUUUUUUUUUUUUUUUUUCUUUUUGGAGAUAGUAGACGGGCUGAAAAUGGAGUUACCAUAUUGUCCCUACGUUCUUCAUUUCUGGUAUUAAUAAUUUAAUUUAAACAAAAUACCAUAGCCCAUUUUCUCUUCAUUUUUAAUUUAUUAGUAUUUAUUAGUUACUCGUAUAAAGUACAUGGUCUGUAUUUUAUUUUUUUUUCAAUUUUCCUUUUCUAUACGAAGAAGAAAAAUCUUUUUUUUUCUUUUGGGUGCACAAAGAUGUCACUUAAGAUGUGAUUUGUUUGAAGUUCUUGAAUAUUUAACCAAAACCAGUUAUCUGUCAAUCUAGAUGCAGUUCAGCAUGAGUGUUGAAGCAGAUUUUUUGGGAAAUUAUUUGGUAACCAGGUGCCCAUAAGCUUUAGAAUUGGGACCAAGAAUUAAAGAAUUCCACCUCUCUCCUUUGCAGCCAGUCCUCUCUAGCAGAUUCAAUUGUCAUAAAAGAUCAAAGUUAUUGAGAUAGUCUCUGUCAUUCAUACCAAAAUGUCAACUUUCCUCAGGAAAAUUACAUAUUCCUGCUCGAAUAGUGAUGGUUAGAUGAUCUAAGCAAUUGCUACAAGGAAAGAAGUUUGUUUGAACCAGAAAAGAAGAUGGUGUCUGGAAUCUGGAUCUUUCCAAAAGAAGGCGACAGAGGACCACAUUUUUUUUUCUUCCUGUAAUUUAUUUUUGGAACUUCUUUGUCUGCGUUUGAACCAGAAUUAGGACAAGUUGUUUGGGGCAGUACAUUGAACUUGAGAAAGUUCCCGAAAAAAAUAUCUUCCAAGUUGGCAGGAUUGGUUUGGUUAAACCAUCAUCAUGUAGUUCAUCAAGGAAGCACCCCAAUUUUUGGGUCAUUUUGUGCGUGAUUCACUCACUCUACACAAAACGGGAUAAGGGAAAUAUUUUUUGGGUGCAUAUUUAUUUUACCUACGUAUGCUUGUAUUGAAUUUUAGAAAUGAUAAAAGUAUUCCACAUUAGUCUCACUAUUAGUAAAUUUAUAAUAUAUAUAUAUAAAAAUAUAGAUAUCAAAAUUUUUUUGAUUGAUCAAAAUAAUCAUAUUUAUUCAUUAUAUAUCUAAAAUAUCAUUUUAAAUAUUUUAUAUUAUUUAAUAUUAAUUCGAUUUAUCUAAUUUAUAAAUAUAUAAAAAUUAUAGUUCUAUGGAAUGACUUUUUAUAUUAAAAAUAUUAAUAAAAUUUAUUCAAAUUGCAAAUAAAAAUUUUAAUUGCAUUAAAUGAUUUUUAUUAAAAAAUAAUUUUUAAUUCUAAUAGGAUUAGUAAUUUAUAGAUUAAUAUUACAAAAUUUCAAUUAUAUAAUUAAAAUGUUAAUUGUUUUUAAUAUAUAAUUGUCUUUCAAUGACUGUUGUCUUUUAUUUAUAAACAAUUACCAUUACAUUUUAGAAUUAUUUACAUUUUAUAUUAAUUAUUAUUUAAAAAUAUAUAAAAAAUCAAGUAUUCAUGUGACAAUAAAUGUUAAUAUUUAAAAAUUAUUAUUUUAUUAUCUUAAUAUAUACUAUUUGUAAGUAAUUAGACAUUAUAUACCUUAUGAUUUUUUUCUCGAAUAAUUUAUAAUAAUAAUAAUAAUAAUAAUAAUAAUAAUAUAAUGACACGAUCCAUUUUGCAUUUUACAUUGGUGUUGCUGUUGCAUUACUAUGACUUAUGAAAUUGGGAAGACCGAUAGCAUAGCAUAAAUUUUGCUUUCUUAAAAUAAUUAGAACCUUGGUGGGAGAUCAAAAUAUGAUUAACAAUUUGUUCCGAAAUCAGAGAAAAAAAAUUAGUAUAAUAUUUGAAAAAACUCUUGAAUUAAUAAAAAAAUUCAAAUAAAUUUUUUUCUUUUAUUUCAUUCAAUUAAAUUUUUAUUUUUAUUUUAAAUGAAAUAAAUUUUUAUAAUUAAUAGUUGACUAAGUUCCAUUGAUUUAAAUAUCACUUAUUAUUAUAUUCAUGUGACGUUGAUGGAGUAUUAAUAUGACAUUGACAUAAAAGAUAAAAAUGUCAUAUGAUCAUGUUAUUAUGUAACGUCAUUAUCUAUUAUGACAUAUCAGGAUAAUAUAUUAACAUCACAUAAUAUAAAUUGACAAAUGAUAUCUUCAUUAAUAACAAUUAAUAAAUUAUUAGUUAUAAAAAUUUAUUUAAUUUAUAAUAAAAAUAUAAAAAUUUUAUUAAAUAUAAUAAAAAAUAAUAAUUUAUUUAAAAUUUUUUAAAUAAUUUAAAAGCUUUUAUAGAUAUUAGAUUAUAAAAAUUUUCUUUUUAUUCGCUCAUUCUGUUUUUGGACACCGUGAAGGGCAAUAUAAAUAAUGGAAUAUAUGACGAUGGAAACUAAAAAAAAAUUAAAAGAGGAGAAAAAAAUGGGGUACAUGGGUAAAAGGGAAAAAAACAAAGAGGAGAGAUGUAGAUGACAACGAGGCCGAAAAAACAGAAGCAAGGGGUCCAAUCAAGUCACUAUCAGAUUUGGGAGCUCUUUGUAAAUGCGGGAGCCAGAGUCGAUGACUCACUACCCCUAUGCCCACCCCCCCCCCCCCCCCCCAGCCCCUAACCUAUAUGCCCCUAUAACCUUCACUUCAUCCCCCCCUGUCUAUCUCUCUCUCUCUCUCUCUCUCAUUCAAAGAUUUCAAUUUUCAAUUCGCCACCCUUUCAAACUUAAAAGCCCUUUUGUUCUAUUAUUAUUAGAUUUAAAAUAGAAAACCCUUUUGUUUUGUUGUGAAAUAGCCAGUGAACUUCCUCCCAUUGCCCCUCCGCGCGGGCGGCCUCUCUUCCUCCAUCCCAACCCACCGCAUAUGGAGUAGUAUUUAUUCUUUUACAACCCUGGAUGAAGAGUUUGCUAAUUUCUGUUUAUAUGAUUUGUCUUCACUGGACAAUAGAUUUCAAAUGCUUAGUUCAAAACUAUUUAAAAAACCUUAUUAACUAAAUUAACUAACAUUUUUAAUUGUAAAGCUCUUCUAAAUAUGAUGAGAUUGAUCACCUAAUGGAGCAUAAUAGAGACAGCUUAAGCUUUAUUGAAGGAAAAAAAAAUGGCUUUACGGAUUUUGGUUAAAGUCUUAAAGAUCAAUGCUAAGCUUUUGAUUCAAAACUUCUGUUGGACAUGAUAUAUAACAAAUCAAACUUUUGAGAUAAUUUAUUAUUUGUAUGUUGUUGGACACUUUUCGAACUUAAAUGUUAGUGCCAUUUUUUUGUGGUUAUAAUAUACAUAAAAAAAUAUAAAGAAAAUGAGAUUGGUUGUUGAAGCCAUGAGUCGAGCCAUCAUCUUCAAUCUACAUUGAGCACUUGCUAUAUAUCUACAAAAAGGCUUUUAACAGAUAUAAGCUCUUGAGAUUUACUAAUGCUGAUACACACCAACAGCUCAUUUCUACUUUUACUCGUGUAUUUAUGUAAAUUGCAAAAAUCUUAUGAUAUUAGGUUGAAAAUAUAUUUGUUUUUUGAUUAAAUACUUAAAUAAAUUCUUUGAAAUAUACUGAAAAAGUUAAUUAAAUCUCUAUCUUUUUAUUACGUUCAAAUAAAGAUCUGAAUUUUUAUUUUAGAUUAAAUAAGUUUCUCUCACUAAUUGUUGAUUAACUUUCGUUAGUUAAUGGUACAAUUAGUAAUUUUAUAUCACAUCAUCUGCCGCAGGGUAUAUUGACAUGUCAUUUUAUUUUAUUUGUGCAAAUUGAUAUUAAUUUCUAUACUAAAGAGAAACAACAAUUCUUCUCAAACUGUUCCUUUUCCUCCUUUUAAAUUUGCAACACCUUUCUUCAUUAUCUCUUGCCUCAAUAAAUAAUCUGUCAAAACUCUUUUUCCAGAAGAAGAAAAAAGAAUAUUGUUAUUCAAUUUUCUACUCAUGCAAGUGCACGUAUCGUAAAAAUAAUAUAGAGAUGAGUAGAGUGUCGAUCCCACAGAGAAUUGAAUUAAUCCUUAUUGUUAACUAUUAAAAUUAACACAUCUUAAUUUUAUCUAAACAAUUAAAAUUAAAAAAAAAUUAAAUUAAUAAAGUAAUAAUUAAAACUAAUAUAUCAACAAAUUUUACUUCUAGUGAUUAACGGAUCUAAGAUUAUGAUAUCCCUCAAUACUUCAUCUGAAUAUUAUCUCUCUCUCUCUUAACUCAGUUUAAUGGAUUAAGUUGCUAAUCUAAAGUCCUAAAUUAUUUACAAGUCUCUAUCGAGUUUCUUAUAAAAAUACAUUUCCCAAUUAAUUUACUAUAUGUCUAUGCAAAUUAUAUUGGAGAAAGAUUUAUUAAGUUUAUGCUCUAAUUUUGGCUACAUAUAGCUUAUAGGUGUAUGUCUACCCUAUAUGCAAAUCAAACCACCUAAUCAACUGAGUGCAUUAGAUCAUGUGCUAUUCUUUUCAAGGUCUACCUAAAUCUCUUUCACCAAGGUUUAACCUAGGUUUCCAAUUCAAUCUAAUUAGUGAUUAGGCAAUUAGAAGCAUUAAGAAUAGAAUAAAAUAAACAACCUAAAUCUAUCAAACAUAAGUAAAAGAGAGAUUAAUAAUCUAAACUACAUAUUGAGUUCAAUUAUAAUCUUAGAUUAACAAUUUAGUUCCCCAUCAAGUCACACAUCAUCAUUAAAUACAGUUUAAACAUUAAGAACAAAGCCAAGAAAAUAAAAGAAUAAAAUAAAAGAUAGAAAAACUCAAGAGUUGUGUUCUUGAUCUCCAAAUCUCCUUGAAUCCUUCAAAUUCUUCUUAGCUGCAAUGACUCUUGUGGCUUGACUCUCAAUUGUUAAUCUGGUGUUUUCUUCCUUCUUCCCUUUUCUCCAAAAGGUUGUUUUUAUAAGCUUUAAAGUUAGGCCAAGUUGGGUGAAGAAAGAAGUCAAUUCCAAUUAGAUUAUGUGGGUUGUAGCCUUGCCCAAUUAAUUAACAGAAAUCGUAAUUGCUCUAGGACUGCUACAGUAUGUCAAUUUUGACAAGAUUUUUGACCAUCUUACAAGCCGAAAUGGGUAAAGUAGUAAACAUAAAAGUUGUAGCUUUUUCUCUUAUCUUUCCAAUGGUCUAAGAAUCGCUUCAUUUGAAACUCUGUAGAGAAAGUAAUGGCUGAAAUACCAAAGUAUAUGCGUUAGAAGUCUGCACCUUAAAAUUGCUCUCUUUCUUUCAUUAAAAUUAUUCUUUCAUCAAACACCUACAAAAGCACAAAUAAAUCAAUAACAACCUAUCUUAACCACAUUAACACCAAAUUAAUCAUAAAAUUAACUAAGAUUAUAUUGACUCACCUAAAAUAACUAAUUUAAAAUAAUUAAAUAAAAUCUACUAAUUUCUAUGCAUUACUACAAGAAUUAAGCUAAAUUAUUAUAAAAAAUAAGCUCAAAUAACCCUAUAUCAUAGAGUUAUCAAAUAUUAAAAACCAUAAUGAUGAAUAGUCCAAGCUUGUUUGACCACGCUACUAGUACUGAGAAAGGCUUUUGAUGAAACUUGUAGUUCUAAGAUAGGGAUUUAGAGCAAGAAUAUCAUUAGCCUUUAAAGAAAGCCCUUCUCUUUUUGAUCAAUCCACCCUCUUCCUAUAGUUGUCCAUAGUGUUGCUUCACAGUUAAAAACUUUGAGAAUGAGAAUUUAAAGCUUAAUACUGAUGAUUAGUAUAUUCCAUAUAAUGAAGUGAAAUAUUCUUCCAAAAUCAAAGUUAAACCUCCAAGCUUUGAACAAAACACUCUUUGCAAUCCCCAAUACAAGGUUAUGCAAAUAAAAUUUAACCUUCCUUUUGAAAUUCAUUAUGUUGAGAAAUAAAAACAAAUUGAAUACAAGUCUCCUAAGCCUAAAGCAUAUCUUUAUCUUGAAAGUGUUAUGAUCAUGAAAAAGAUUUGCAAUAGAAGGUCUUCUCAUCAAACAUCCUUUCAUUUUGAUAAUCCUUACCCCAUGACGUUUGAGUUUCUUGUUAACCCACUUACCUUAUUUUUGUUAAAAACCCUAUUCCAUGUUAAAAACAAUCGUAAUCAAGACUUAGUUUGAAGCAAUUAGUUUGUUUUUUUUUUUAAUUUUUUUCAAACCUCUAAGUCAAUUAUUUUUGGACAUAUGGAUAGGUAAAAAGGAGAAAAUUCAAUUCCUAAUCAAUAAGUUUUAAUGCCACAUCAUCUAGCAUGUGGUAAUGUCAUCAUCAAAAUGACACGUCAACAUGUUACGUGGUAAAUGACAUAGUAUAAAAUUGCCAAUUGUACAUUUGACUAACAAAAGUUAGGUAAGAGUUAUUAAGAAGGCUUAUUUGACUUAAAUAAAAAUUUUGGGGCUUAUUUGAAUGUAAUAAAAGAUAGAGAUUUAAUUGAUUUGUUUGGUAUAAUUUAGAGGCUUCAAUGAAUUUGAGCCUCCGUCUUCAAUCUACAUUGACCACUUAAUAUAUAUCUAAAAACAGACUUGUAGCAUAUAUACGCUCUUAAGAUUUACUAAUGCUGAUACACAUGUUCAAUUUUUUACUCACACAAGUAUACGUAUCGCAAAGAUAAUAUAGAGAUGAGUAGAGUUUCGAUCUCACAGAGAAUUGAAUAAAUUUUUUUUUGCUAACUACUAAAAUUAACACACCUUAAUUUUAUCUAAACAAUUAAAAUUAAAAAGAAAAAUUUAAAUUAAUAAACUAAUAACAAAAACUAAAACUAAUGUAAAAUCUAUUAGCAAAUUUAUUUUAUUAAAUAUGAAUGACUACUAAACCUAAAAUUAUGAUAUCCCUCAAUACUUCAUUUGAUUAUUGUCUCUUUCUCUUAACUUAGUUUAAUGGAUUAAGUUGCUAACCUAGAGUCUUAAAUUAUUUACAAGUCUCUGUCCAAUUUCUCAUAAAAAUACCUUUCUCAAUUAAUUUACUAUAUGUUUAUGCAAAUUAUAUUGAAGAAAGAUUCAUUAAGCUCGUACUCUAAGUUUGGCUAUGUAUGGCUUACAAGUGUAUGUCUACCUUGCAUGCAAAUCAAACCACCUAAUCAACUAAGUGUAUUCGAUCAUACGUUAUUCUAUUUAAGGUCUACCUAAAUCUUCUUCAUCAAGGUUUAACUUAGGUUUUCAAUUCAAUCUAGUUGGUGAUUCGGCAAUUAAAAGCAUUAAGAACAGAAUAAAACAAACAACUUAAAUCUAUCAAACAUAAGUAAAAAAGAGAUAAAUAAUUCAGACUACAUAUUGAGUUCAAUCAUAAUCUUAGAUUACAAAUUUAGUUCCCCAUCAAGUCACACAUUAUCAUUGAAUAAAAUCUAAACAUUAAAAACAAAACCAAAAAAAUAAAAGAAUACAAAAAAAUAUAGAAAAACCCAAGAAUCAUAUUCUUGAUCUCCAAAUCUCCUUGAAUCCUGCAAAUUCUUUUUAGCUUCAAUGACUCUGUAGCUUGACUCUCAGCUUUUCAAUCUGGUGUUUUUUUUCGUUCCCCUUUAAGUCCUUUGAAAGGUUUUUUUUAUAGGCUUUGAAGUUAGGACAAGUUGAGUGAAGAAAGAUGUCACGACCCGGAACCUCCCUCAGGCCCAUGACAAUCGCUGCGACGUCCCAAUUGACACUCAUUAUCCGGAAUGCCAACCGGAACCCCGCAAGGCUUACAUAUCAGUUUCUUUCCUUUCCUGUGAGCAAUCAUUGUUAAAUAUCGAGUUUUUAGAGAAUAUAUACUAUUUUAGAUCAAAAACAAUCAAAAUAAAAUUUUCGCCACACAGGGGUAUUUUGGUCAUUUUUUUCUCAAAAAUUUCGAAACUGGCUAAAACGUAAUAUACAAGUACAAAACACAUAAUUCAUAUUCAAAAUGAGUUUAAAAGUCUAAAAUCUUCAUUUAAAACGAAAUUACGGUUAUUUGAAUAUAAUAAGAAAAUAAAAGAAAUAUUAAGGAAAAUAUUCUAUUUUCUUAUAAAACAAUAUUUAUAGAGUUAUACGUGAAUAAUUUUUAUAGCGUAAAAGCUAAAUAAAUUUAUACAUACUGAAAUACAGUAAGCCAAAAUAUUUAAUUUAAUUUACAAUAACAAGAGGGCCCCCGAAUAAACAAAAGUAAAGAGGACUGUGAACCUACGGUUUGGAAAAUGCAGAUCCAAUGGUAGUCCUCGAUGAGAUCAGCUAUCUACAGUCUAUACUGAACCUGAAAUGGGUGGAAAGGAGUUGGGUGAGAUUUUGCAAUCCCAAUGAGUAAACAGACAUUAUCAUAAAUAUCUAAAGGCGAGUAAAAUGGAGGCAAGUUUAAACAACAAAUUUCAACCCAUUUCAUAAUGUUUUCAAUUUAUUUCUUAAACCAUAAAAUAUUUGUAAUUUACCAAAACAGUUGUUAAGGCUUAUGUCUUUUAUUAAAACAAGGCUCAAGCCAAAACUAAUCCUCGGGGAUACCUUGGCCGAGGCAUCUAACCGAGUCCGCCAAGGGUGUUAAAAUAUUCACACGUGAAACACAUUUUUAUUUUUAAAACCAGCCGUUCCUUGGCGUUGGCCGAGUUACACAUUCACGUGGGGGUUCGACGUGAAGUGAGCUCUAAUACUACCCCAGGAGUUACCCUCCUCGCCUCUACAACCGGAGUAACUAUAUAACUGGGUUUACCGUGCCCCUCUAAUAGGCAGUCCACGGAAACCCGUCACUGCAGUGACUAACCCACCAAUUUUAAUAAAAUUUCGACAGUAUAACGUGGCUUUUAUUUAUUUAUCCAGCCUGCAUAGUAAAACAACUUACAUAAAUUUCCCAAUGCAUUCACAAAAUAUAGCCACAUAUACUCAUUUCUCAUAAGCCAUUCCUAGGAAAAUAUAUAUUUUUCAAGUCAAUUUGUAGCCUCCAAUUACUCAAUUUCAUAAUCAAUACAAUAUAUUUUUAUUUGUCACAUUUAUUCCUAAAACAUCAAAAAUCCCGUUUUAAUCUCGUUUUCAUUUCAUAAAAUACAUAAAGGGCAUUUAAAAAUAAACUCUAGAUAAUUUACAAUAAUAAUAAGUUUACUCACCGUUUGUACAAACUAAAAGCUUUCUAAGCGCCCCGAUCACUACUCGUCGGGUACGACUUCUUUGCCUUUUCCGGAAGGCUCUCCUCCUAGACACAUUACAAAAAUUUACACAAUUCAUCACAUUGAUGCUAAAUCACUAUAUAAUUAACUUAAAUCCUAUACUAAUGCAUGGUAUGAAAUGCAAUAGCCUAAAACGGCUUAAACGCGGUAUUAACCUAUUUUUGGCACUUUGCCCGAUAAAUUGCUAACGCGCUCCAUUUUAGCUCUAAAUCAUCCCAUUCUCUCUCCAACAUUUCUAACCAUUAAAUAUCAGCCAAUAACCUUCUAAAAACAACAAAAUCAGCUCACUCCCUUCCUUGGAAAAUUCGGCCAAAAAUGGGACAUUAACUCGGUUAAUUUUCUACUUUGUUUUUCUAUCACGUUUAAUCGUUUUUCAUCAUUUUCUCUUCAUUUUCCUUAGAAUAAAAUCAAUUCAUCAUCAUUGUACAGCAUUGAGCAUCCAGCCAAGAGUGGGUAUUGUGAAAAUUUAAUGAUUUCUUGCCCAAUUUAAUUUCUAAACACAUUUAACUAACUAAAACUAUCAAUUUAACUAAAAAUCAAAACCUAAAAAUUUCAAUUUCUCUCCCCUAGAAUUUCGUCCAGCCCUUGAUAUCACUUUUUGAUCUCUCUCCUCAAGCAUGCUAAAUGGAAAUAAAGGCAUAGGAAAGGUAGAAAUCAAGCUAAAAUCGAAAAAUCUUACCGUUAGACGCGUAAACGGUCGAAAACCGCGAAUUUCCCUUUGAAUUUUCUUGUUUCUCUUUGGUUUUUCUUUUUUUCUUCCUUUCCUCUCUAUUUCCUCUCUUGUUCUUCCUUAUGGCCGGCCAGCACUUAAAAUUUGGGUUUAAAUGGGCUGACUUUUCAUUAAAAUAAUAUUAUAUCAUUUAAAAAAUGCCACAUGUCACUUUCCCAUUGGCCCAUUUUUAAAAUUUCAUCCAUUUGUUUCCAAAUUUUCACCAUACACUUGUCUCAUAUAUUCAUAGCUUAGAUAAAAUUCUCAGACUCAUCCAAAGUCUCGGUGGAGUAAUUUUUGAAAUUUACACUUUUGCCCCCGUAAAAGUCAAAAAUUACAUUUUUGCCCCAAAAAUUGAAAAAUUGCCCAUAGACAUAUUUUUCAUCCCUUAUACUCAUACCAUUCUCCAAUUUGUCAAAUUUGAUCUAAAUUCUCUCAAAAUCUCAAAUUUUGUCCGUGGGUGGCAAAAUUACGAUUUUGCCCCUACACUCCAAAAAUCACCAGAAUUAAACUUUUUCACUUCCUAUCAUUAAAUUAUACUCCAAAUAGUUAAUCUUGGUCAAAAAUUUCACUCCAUGAUCAAAUUAUUAUCUUAGGUGGCAAAAUGACGAUUUUGCCCUUGAAUAUCAAAAUUUCUAAUUUUACCCCAAAUGAACCCUCGAACUCCGAACAAUCAUUUUUAGUCAUUCCUGGACUAUAAAAUAUUAAAUUUCAUCCUACAAUUCCUAUUUGAACUAGUUCGAGGUUAAAUCAAUUUAAGUGUACCGUUAGGUACAAUAACGGGUUUCGUCUAUUCUUAGGUGCUUUUCUAGCGUAAUAACAUGCUACUCAAUGCAUGUAUGUCAUGACAUGUAUUUAUAGGGUUGGCGUUUACAAAAGAAGUCAAUUAAAGCUUGGAUUUCCUCAUCAGAUUAUGUAAGUCACAGCCUUGCCCAAUUAAUUAAUAGAAAUCGUAAUUGCUCUAGGACUGCUAUAGUGCAUCAAAUUCGACAAAAUGUUUGACCAUAUUCCAUACCGAAUUGGGUGAAGAGAUAAACAUAAAAGUUUUAGAUUUUUCUCUUAUCUUUCCAAUGGUUUAAGAAUAGAUUCAUUUGGAGCUUUGUAGAGACAGUUAUAGCUGAAAUACCAAAAUAUAUGCAGUGCAAGUUUACACCUCAAAAUUGCUCUUCUUUUUCCAUUAAAAUUCUUCUUUCAAACACCAACAAAAGUACAAAUAAAUUAAUAACAACCUAUCUUAACCAUAUUAACACCAAAUUAAGCAUAAAAUUAACCAUGAUUAGAUUGACUCACCUAAAAUAACUAAUUUAAAAUAAUUAAAUAAAAUCUACUAAUUUUUAUGCAUUACUACAAGAACUAAGCUCAAUUACUAUUAAAAUUAAGCCCAAAUAACUCUAUAUUAUAGAGUUAUCAACACAAAAACUUGUCAUUUCUACUUUUACUCGACUAUUUAUGUAAACUACAAAAAUCUUAUAAUAUUUUAUUGUGUUAUGAAAUAUAAAAAGGAACAACUAUAAGAGAAAGCAUUUAGAGGGAAAAAAGGUAUUUGGAGGGAGUAAGAAAAGCUUAUUCAAGUGUGUAUUUAUAAAUGAAGUGAACGGUCUAUUUAUAGGCUAAUAAGCCUUUAUCUAGAUAAAAUUUACAAGAUGAAAAUAAUACUAAGGGAUUAGAUGGAUGGAUUAUAUUCUAAUCUUAAUCCAAUCUAAUAUACAUCCAAAUCUAGAUAUACAUAGCAUAAAUGGAUAUUCACAAAAAUAUUCAUAACACUCUCCCUUGAAUAUCUACUGUAUUAAGAAUAUGUCUCGUUAAAAUCUUAUUAGGAAAAAAACCUCAUGGGAGAAAAAUCCUAGUGAAGGAAAAAGAGUACAUAAUUCUUUUCAAGAAUACACUUAUAAAAUACUACCUUAUUAAAAACCUUAUCAAGAAAAACCUAGUGCAAAAAACUUUGAUAAACAAAAAGAGUACAGUAUGUAUUUUACUAUUUCUAAUGAUUGCAUUAUUAAGAUAUUUAAAAUGAUGCAUUCCAAUCUUUUGUACCAACUUUUCAACUGUUGUAGUAUGAAAAACUUUGGUGAACAAAUCUGUUAUAUUGUCACUUGAACAAAUUUGUUAAACACUAAUAUCACCCUUUUCUUGGAGAUCAUGAGUGAAAAAUUUUGGCAAAAUAUGUUUUGUUUUAUCGCCUUUAAUGUAUCCUUCCUUUAACUGUGUUAUGCAAGUAGUAUUAUCCUCAUAUAACGUUGUUAGAAUCUCUUUCUUAGUUGACAAGCCACACGUUUCUUGAAUAUGUUGAGUUACAUAUCUUAACCAAACACAUUCACGACUUACCUCAUGAAUUGUCAAAAUUUCUACAAGGUUAGAAGAAAUAGCAAAUAUAGUUUGUUUUAUAAAACACUAUGAAAUAGUCGUACCUCCACAUAUAAAUAAGUAAUCUAUCUAGGAUCAAGCUUUAUGUGGAUCAUAUAAAUAUUCUGCAUUUGAAUAACUAAUUAAAUUUUAUUUUAAUAUAUUUGAGUAAUAGAAGCCUAUGUCUAUUAUUCUUUAGAGAUAUCGGAGUAUAUGUUUAACUUCGUUUCAAUGUCUUUGAGUUGGAGAAGAAUUAUAUUUUAUAAAUAAAUUUAUAGCAAAUGAUAUAUCAAGUCGUGUAUUACUAGUAAAAUACAUUAGUAAUCUAAUUAGACUAAGAUAUGGUACUUCAAGACUAUAAAGUUCUUCAUUAUCCUCACGAGAUUGGAAAAGGUCUUUUUCACUUCUAAUGACUUUAUAACCACUGGCAAACUCAAUGGAUGUACUUUGUCUAUAUAAAAUCAUUUUUGCACUUUUUGUCAAGCCUAGCUCUAUAAUAUAUUUGCCAUAUUGUAUAGGUACUUGAUAGAAUGUCUGCAUACUUGAAUGCCUCAGAAAUCGUUGCAAGACGAUAUUGUACCUAAUGGUACAAUUAAGUUGAUUUAAGUCUUGAACUAGUCUAAAUAGAGAUUUUAAGAUGCAUUCGAGAGUUAUUGAACCUUAGAAUGACUUGAUAUGAUGAUUUGGAGUUCGGGGAUUGAUUUAGAAUUAAAUUGGAAUUUUCAUAACGUAGGGGUAAAAUGGUCAUUUUGCCACCCGAUGGCAAAAUUGGAAUGGUGGAUGAAAUUUUGAUCAAGUUUGACUAUUGGAAUAUAAUUUGAGCUUGAGAGGUGAAAAAUUUUAAUUUCGACAUUUUUCCGAGCAUAAGGGCAAAACGAUCAUUUUACGUGUCUAUAGGGGUAAAAUUAGAAUUUUUGAAAUUUUGCACCACCAUGACACUUGUCAAGCCCUUGAAUUUUACCUAUUAUACUUUGGAUAAUUGAGAUAUUUUAUGUGGUGGUGGGAGAAUGCUUAAUUAUUAAGUUUAAAAAUGAACCAAUUAAAAGGUUACACAUGACAAGCUUUAGUUAUUUUAAUAUUUUCUUUUAAAAAAAAAUCAGCACACACCUCUCUUAUUUCAUUCUUCAUGGUCAGCUAAGACAAGAACAAAGAGAAAAAAGAAGAGAACAAACCCUAGUGAGCAAAAAUUCAAGGGAAAAUUGGUGGAUUUCAAGGAAUUAAGCAAGUAAAAGUAAAAUUUCUUGAUUUUAGCUUCUGAUCUACCUUUCCUAUGCAUUCUUUUUCAUUUUCCAUGGUUGAUAAUCAAGUUUGCAUGAAGAUACCUUUGCUGGCCGGACAUAGGGGGAGGGGUUCUGAUCUUGGAUUUAGCUAGAUUUCAUGUUAUUUUAGUGUUUUUAGUUGUUUGGUGAUGUUUAGCAUGGAAAACAAGCAAGAAAUUUCAUGCCCUUCACCCACACCCAUUGGCUGAAUUUUUCAAGAGAGAAAUUGGAAAAUGGACUUUGAUGAAUUUCAUGCUAUUUAGGUAUUUUUAGUUGUUUUAUGAUGUAAAGUGUAAAAAUCAAGCAUGAAAAACCACAUAUUAUUCAUGAACCCUCCAUGGCCGAAUUUUUUCAAGAGAAAAUGUUGAGGAUGAUUUUGCUAUAAUUCAUGUUAUCUAGCUUAUAUUUGAUGAUUUGGAGCAUUGGAACUGAAAUGAAUUUAUUUGGAGUUGAAUUGGAUAUUUUGGCCAAUUAACCGGCGUAUAGUGUGAAUUAGGUCAACACCAUUUCAGCCCCAUACACAAUUGAACCUACGUAGAACACCGUAUUUAGAUAAUAAUCCGAACAUUUCACAUCCCAUUUCAUGCAUUCAUAUAGAGUCUAAAUUAGUUUUAUAACGGUUUAACACAAAUAUAGUAAAUUGCUUGUUGUGCAUUAUGUCUAAGUGGUGAAACUUUCGAUAAAGGUAAGGAGAUUGUACCCGAAGAUCGAGAUUAGGUGUACCUCGAUUCUCGAUAUUGUGAUUGACCUUAUUAUCGUCUUAAUUAUCUAAAGUAGUUUUCAUUCGUUUUUGUGAUUUUAUAGAAAAAUGAGUUUAAAUGGUAAAUUCUUAUGUUUUAUAAGUAAAAUGUGAUUAAAUGAAAUGAGUUUUAUAAAUCAUUUUGAAAUUGAAUGAUGAUUUUAGAAAUUGAGUAAUUGGAGACUGUUUGUUUGUGUUGUAAAUUUAUGGUUUGAAUUGAAUGGCUUAUGGUGAUAUUGGCAUGAAUGGCUAAAUUGGAAAUUAUGUGGAAAGUGUAUGAACUGUUUGUUUUGCCUUAACAGGCUGGGUAGUAAUAUAAUUGCCAUGUCAUGUUGUUGAAACUUUUAUUGAUUUGGUGGGAUAUUGAUUAGUCACUGCAGUGGUGGGUUUCUGUGGACCAGCCUAUGAGAGGGGCACGGUAAACCCCGUUAUAUUUUACCUUAGUACGAGAGGCAUGGAGGGUAUCUCCUAAGGUAAAGCUUUAGAGUUCACUUCACGUCGAACCAUCACGUGAGGGUGAACUCAGCCAACGCCAAGGAGCGGCUAUGUUUUAAAACAUAAAAAUAUGAUUUAUGGAUAUAUGUCUUUUAUUUAACAGCCUUGGUGGACUCAGUUGGAUGCCUCUGAUCAAGGUAUCCCCGAGAAUGAGUUUUGAUACGAGCGAAGUUUUUAAGAAAUUCAUAAGCCAUGUUGAUUAUUUAAGUGAAAUGAAUUUAUUUUAUUUAGUUGAAAUGAGUUUGAAACGUUAUGAAUCAUAGUACGAUGAACUAUUUUAAGUUGUCUCCAUUUACUUGACUUUAGAUAUUUUAGAUGAUGUUUGUUUACUCACUGAGUUUAUAUAAACUCACCACCCUCAUUUCCACUCAUUCCAGGCUUAGGACAGUCAGUAAAUAGCUGAUUACGUCGAGGGUUAUUAUUAGACUCGCCUCCUCGGAAAUUGUAGGUCCACAACCUUUGUUACCUUUGGUCAUUCGGGGACGCACACGUCAUUGUAAAUUAAAUUACAUACUCUGGUUAUCUAUGUUACCGUAUAUAUGAAUUUAUUUUGCUUUUAAGCUAUAAAAAUUAUUCAUGUAGCGUUUUAUAAAUAUUGUUUUAUAAAAAAGUAGAAUAUUUUAUUCAAUAUUUUUAUUUUAUUCUAUUAGCUACGAUUUCACUCUAAAUGAAUGUUUUAGACAUAAAAACUUGUUUUUAGUUAUGAAAUGUGUAUUUUCUCCCAUGUGUUAUAUUUUCAGCAAGUUUCAAAAUUUUUGGAAAAAAUGACCAAAAUGCCUCUAUGAGACAGAAAAUAUUUUUUUAUUUUUUUUAUCAUUGUUUCGAUUUGGAAAUAGUUGAUAAUCUUUUAAAAUAUGAUGUUUAGUAAUUAUUGCUCACAGGGGAGGUGCGAAAACUGAUAUUAAGCCUUGCGAGGUUUCGGUUGGCAUUCCGGGUAAUGGAUGUCUAUAGGGACAUCGUGACGGUUGUCACGGGCUCGAAGGGAGUACAAGGUCGUGACACUUUUGCUAUAUAAUUUAAUUAAUGGAUAAAAAUUUCAUUUGUCAAGUGUUAAAUCUAUAGACUCAAACAAAAAAUUUAUUUUUUCAAGGUUUUUUAUCUUAAAUUCUAUUUUUAAAUAAUCCACAGCUUCUGAUAACUCUUUGGGAGUUCCAAUCAUGUUUAGGUCAUUAACUUAAAUAGCUAUUAUCAAAAAUUCAUAUUCGAAUCUUUCUAUAAAAAACACAUGGGUAUAUAGAAUCAUUUUUAUAGCUUUUUUUCAAUAAAUAUUCAUUAAGACGAUUAUACCAUAUACAUCCAGAUUGCUUUAAUCCAUAUAAAGAUUUAUUUAAUUUAAUCAAAUAAAUUUUAUAAGAAUUCAAAUUUUGUGUUGCAAGCAACUUAAAUCCUUUAAGAAUUUUCAUAUGGAUAUUAUUAUCAAGUGAGCCAUAUAAAUAGGCUGUAGCUACAUUCAUUAGAUAUAUUUUAAUAUUCUCACCUAUUACCAGACUAAUUAAAUAUAGAAAUAUAAUUGCAUCCACCACAAAAGAAUAUGUCUCUUCAUAAUCAAUAUCGAGCCUUUGGGUAAAGCCUUAUGUGACAAGUCGUGCUUUAUAUCUCAUAAUCUCAUUUUUCUCAUUUCGUAUUUGUGCAAAUAUCCAUUUAUAUCCUACUGGUUUUACACCAUUUGGUUUAUAGACUACAAAUCCAAAAUCUUCAUGUUUUGCAAGUGAAUUCCACCUUGAUUGUGUUUUUCUCACUUUGGCCAAUCAUUUUUAUGUCUACAUUCUUUAAUAGAUGUAGGUUCAAGAUACCCAUUUUCUUUCAUAAUAUUGAGCAUUAUAUUAUAUACAAAAAUAUCGUCGAUAUUUAUUUAAUUUCGGUUCCAUCUUUUCCUAUUAUGAUAUAAUUUAUUAAGAUCUCUUCAUUUUCAUUGAUUUCAGGUAUCUAAAUUUUAUUCUGAAAUUUUAUCAAUUAUGUCAAGGGUCUCUUCUAGAGUUUCUAUUUCUUUUUUCUAACCAUCUUGAAUAUUUGCUCCUUUUAUUUAUUAAGGAUUUUAUCUUUAGAACCGAUUAGUAUCCCAUGUUUCUGACCUACCUUGUCUUACAAGGACAUCAAUUCUAAUAGGAGUUUUCGCAACUGGUAUAUGAGAUUUAAUUAUUUUUUAAGGUCAUUAAGUAUGUCUGGCAACUGAUUUGUUAUAUUUUACAAAUGAAUUAUAUUUUGAACUUUAAGUUCACAUUGAUUUGUGUAAAGAUCAAAACUAAAUAAUAAUAAUAAUAAUGAUAAUAAUAAUAAUAAUACAUUCCAAGAAAUGUUUUGUUUUCAAUUGCUUAUUUUCUCCCCUAAUGUUGAAAAAACUAUUUUAUCAAAAUGACAAUUGGCAAACUUUGUCAUGAAUAAAUGUCUUGUUAAUGGUUCUAAAUAUUUAAUUCCAAAUGGAGAUUCAUAUCUGUCACGACCCGGAACUCCCCAUCGAGCCCGUGACAACCGCCGCGAAACCUCGACAAACAUUCUUCACCCCGAAUGUCGAUCGAAACCUCGCAAGGCUCUCGUAUCAACUUUCGCACUUCCCCAGUGAGCAAUAGUUAUCAAAUAAUCAAAAUACGAAGGAUUACAAAUUAUUUCCAAAUCAUAACAUAACAUAUAUAUUUUUUUUGCUCAUAGGGGCAUUUUCGUCAUUUUUGUCAAAAAUCUCAAAACUUGCUAAAAAUGUAGUAGGUAAGCCGAAAAUAUAUAUUUAAUGAUUUAAAAAAAAAUUUAAGUAUCUAAAUCGUUUAUUUGAAGUGAAAAUUUGACCAUUUGAAUAUAAUAAAAAUAUUCAAUAAAAUAAACUAUUUUCUUGUAAAAUAAUUUUCAUAAAACUAUCGGUACAUAAUUCUUAUAGCGUAAAAGAGAAUUAUACUCAUAUAUACUAUAAAGCAAAUAACCAAAGCAUAAAAUUUCUUUUACAGUGACACAUGGGCCCACCUCUAACCAAAAUGCAUCGGAAGCUGAAAACCUACAGCUUUUACCGAUUCGAGUCCAAAUAAAGGUCCUUGUCAAGUCAGCUAAUUAUGGAAUUCCCCGAGCCUGAAAUGUGAGGAAAUGAGGGUGGUGAGAUUAUAAAAUCCCAGUGAGUAAACAGAUACCAUCUAAACUAUCUAAAGUCGAGUAAAUGGAGACAAUUAAAAUAAAUCAUCAUACUAUAAUUUCAUUACCUUUCAACUCAUUUCAACCAAAUAAAAUCAAUCCAUAAAAAUUGAGUAAUCAACUUGGCUUAUGAAUUUUUUAAAACUUUGGCUCAUGCCAAAACUCAUAUUCGGUGAAACCUUGCGCAGGGCAUUCAACCGAGUCCGCCAAGGCUGUUAAAAUUUUGCAUACACUUAAAAUAUAUUUUUAGUUUGAGAAAAAUACAGCCGUUUCUUAGCGUUGGCUAAGUUCCCCUUCACGUGGUGGUUUAACGUGAAGUGAACCCUAAGCUUGACCCCAGAAGAUACCCUACGCGCCUCUCCGUUCGAGGUAAUAAUAUAAUGGAGUUUACCGUGCCCCUCUAAUAGGCUGGUCCACGGAACCCCCUCUGCAGUAAAUAAUUAAUAUAUAAUCCACCAAUCAAUAAAAUUCAUUCUAGCAUGACAUGGCAAUUUAUCGCAACCUAACCUCUNNNNNNNNNNNNNNNNNNNNNNNNNNNNNNNNNNNNNNNNNNNNNNNNNNNNNNNNNNNNNNNNNNNNNNNNNNNNNNNNNNNNNNNNNNNNNNNNNNNNNNNNNNNNNNNNNNNNNNNNNNNNNNNNNNNNNNNNNNNNNNNNNNNNNNNNNNNNNNNNNNNNNNNNNNNNNNNNNNNNNNNNNNNNNNNNNNNNNNNNNNNNNNNNNNNNNNNNNNNNNNNNNNNNNNNNNNNNNNNNNNNNNNNNNNNNNNNNNNNNNNNNNNNNNNNNNNNNNNNNNNNNNNNNNNNNNNNNNNNNNNNNNNNNNNNNNNNNNNNNNNNNNNNNNNNNNNNNNNNNNNNNNNNNNNNNNNNNNNNNNNNNNNNNNNNNNNNNNNNNNNNNNNNNNNNNNNNNNNNNNNNNNNNNNNNNNNNNNNNNNNNNNNNNNNNNNNNNNNNNNNNNNNNNNNNNNNNNNNNNNNNNNNNNNNNNNNNNNNNNNNNNNNNNNNNNNNNNNNNNNNNNNNNNNNNNNNNNNNNNNNNNNNNNNNNNNNNNNNNNNNNNNNNNNNNNNNNNNNNNNNNNNNNNNNNNNNNNNNNNNNNNNNNNNNNNNNNNNNNNNNNNNNNNNNNNNNNNNNNNNNNNNNNNNNNNNNNNNNNNNNNNNNNNNNNNNNNNNNNNNNNNNNNNNNNNNNNNNNNNNNNNNNNNNNNNNNNNNNNNNNNNNNNNNNNNNNNNNNNNNNNNNNNNNNNNNNNNNNNNNNNNNNNNNNNNNNNNNNNNNNNNNNNNNNNNNNNNNNNNNNNNNNNNNNNNNNNNNNNNNNNNNNNNNNNNNNNNNNNNNNNNNNNNNNNNNNNNNNNNNNNNNNNNNNNNNNNNNNNNNNNNNNNNNNNNNNNNNNNNNNNNNNNNNNNNNNNNNNNNNNNNNNNNNNNNNNNNNNNNNNNNNNNNNNNNNNNNNNNNNNNNNNNNNNNNNNNNNNNNNNNNNNNNNNNNNNNNNNNNNNNNNNNNNNNNNNNNNNNNNNNNNNNNNNNNNNNNNNNNNNNNNNNNNNNNNNNNNNNNNNNNNNNNNNNNNNNNNNNNNNNNNNNNNNNNNNNNNNNNNNNNNNNNNNNNNNNNNNNNNNNNNNNNNNNNNNNNNNNNNNNNNNNNNNNNNNNNNNNNNNNNNNNNNNNNNNNNNNNNNNNNNNNNNNNNNNNNNNNNNNNNNNNNNNNNNNNNNNNNNNNNNNNNNNNNNNNNNNNNNNNNNNNNNNNNNNNNNNNNNNNNNNNNNNNNNNNNNNNNNNNNNNNNNNNNNNNNNNNNNNNNNNNNNNNNNNNNNNNNNNNNNNNNNNNNNNNNNNNNNNNNNNNNNNNNNNNNNNNNNNNNNNNNNNNNNNNNNNNNNNNNNNNNNNNNNNNNNNNNNNNNNNNNNNNNNNNNNNNNNNNNNNNNNNNNNNNNNNNNNNNNNNNNNNNNNNNNNNNNNNNNNNNNNNNNNNNNNNNNNNNNNNNNNNNNNNNNNNNNNNNNNNNNNNNNNNNNNNNNNNNNNNNNNNNNNNNNNNNNNNNNNNNNNNNNNNNNNNNNNNNNNNNNNNNNNNNNNNNNNNNNNNNNNNNNNNNNNNNNNNNNNNNNNNNNNNNNNUAGAGUCGGGCUUGUCAUCUUCUCCCCCACUUGGAUCAACCAUAUGAUCCUCCUUCUUGAUUGACUUCGACAUCCGGCUAAAUAUUAAUAUUUUAAUAUUAUUUUAUUAAUAAAAUAUUAUUUUAUUCUAAAAAUUUUAUCUUGUCUCCUUGGUACCCAAAAUACCUUAUUAUGCCUCACUUGACUUCCAAAUCGCCUUUUAUCUCACAAAUUCUCCUCCGAUAAAAUUAUUAUUAUUUUAUUAUUAUUUUCUCACUUGCGAAAUAUUUUAUCCUAAACUACUCCUUUCGUCUUUUAUCACUUCUAAACAUUUUAAUUGACCUCAAUUUGCAUUCGAUCAACUUUAUUUAUCACCAUAUCAAAGUAUGGGGUAUUUCAAUACCCAACAUAUAUUUCUAACCUCCUUCGAAGACCCAUCUUUAUGCAUUGUGGUUGAGCAAUUGGAACAUAUAUUGCACAUCUAAAAGUUCUUAAAUGGGAAGUAGUUGGUUUCUUAUCAUAAACCAAUUGUAUAGGGAAAAUUUAUGAUAACUCGUUGGUAUUGUUGGUCCUGUUUGAGUGCUAGAGGAGGAGUGAAUAGAACUAAAAAUUUUUUGUUCAGCCCUUUAGAGCUAGAAGAGCUCUUAAUCAACUAGAUGAAGAGAAAGACUAAAACUUGUUAGAACUACAAGACACCAAGUAAGGAAGGGUAGAGGGGAAGUGGACAAUACAAAAGAAUUUCUAGUGGUUCGGUCCCCUUGACCUACAUCCACUACCUUGAUCUCCCAAUCAAAGAUUUUCAACCCAACUUCACUAUACUAGUUGAAUUAACAACUUCCAGCAAGCUUUUACAAUGUGAGCUUCUAACCCAAGCUUUUAUCCCUUACAACAAGCUUUAGAGUGCUUCCCACACUCUAAUUUUUCAAAAAAAAGAAGAAAAAGAAGUACGACUAAGUAUCUUUACAAGUCUGGAUAGACUACAAUCAAGCUUAUACACUUUUUCUAGAUUUGGAAUGAAGAACAAGUGUUUUUGGUGAAGAAUAUUUGGCUUUUUGCUUGAAGUAGCUCUUUUCUCUUCAAAUCUCUCUUCUUUGAUCCUUAGAGCUUUCAUUUAUACUUAGGAAGUUAGAUUUUUCUAUUAGAGAUAGUUUCUAGCCAUUAGAAAUAACUUUAAUGCACUUUUAGUCAUUAUUUUGUCCUCUAGUGUUUAAAUUCCAAAAGGCAAAUAGACUUCGGCUAACUAGUUACAGGCAGCUCUAACUGAUUACAGCUUCUCUGUCUUGCACUAUCCUGCUGUUGUGUUCUUUGCUCUAACCGAUUACAAAAGGCUUUAAUCGAUUAAGAGUUCUCUAUCUUCAGACUUCUCUUCUUCAAAGACUUCCUCUAACUAGUUAUGGUAGGCUCUAAUCGAUUACAAACUUUCUGUUUUCACUUCUCUAUAUAGCAGUCUUUCUCUAAUUGGUUAGCUCUUCCCUUAACUGAUUAAGGCUUUACUUCUUUCAACCAUAACUGAUUAAAAUAACCUUUAAUCAAUUAGAAGAUCUUUGAAUUUUGAACUUCUCCAUUUUAGCUCCCUUCAAUGGUCAACUAUAUUUUCAAACUUGUUUUUGGCGCUGAAAAUACUAGGACCUUAUGCUCUAAUCGAUUAACCAGACCCUUUAAUCGAUUAGCAUAUUUUUGUUUUACUUCAGCUUAUCACACAACCAUGCCUUAACUAAUUAAGGUCCCUUGUUAAUCAGUUAUGAAGGUUUUGUUUUUGUUCAUUACUUGCUCUUUCCUUUUUAACUGAUUAUCUCUUCAUUAAACUUAACAAGCUCCUCGACUUGCUUUUAAUUAACAACUUUGUUAGGGGUAUUAAAUUAAAUCUUACACAUUUAAAUAACACGAUUAAACAUUAAUGAAUGAAUAAUAUUUUGUUAUCAUCAAAAACAUAUGGAGUCAAUAGGCAUGAUGCAUACAAAUGCUACUUCAUACAAAAUGGCAUGUCCCCAAGUAGAAAUUGGGAGUUUAGAUUUCAUAAGUAAUGACCUUACAAUCAUUUGGAAGUGUUUAAUAAAUAAUUUGCUAGAUUGUUUUGAAUAUGAACAUAAGCAACAUGUUGUUUAACAGUUAUUCUGACUAAUAUGCAAUAUUUAUUAAAAACUUGAGAUGUAAAUUCACUAGUAUAGUCAAGAUGAAUUGUCUUGAUUGCAUAAUCAGAAAAAUGUAUUUUCAAAUGAAUGAUUUAGGUGAUUAAUCUUGGAAAUGCCAAAUUACAAGUUGAUAAUAAGCACCAUGUGAUCAUUUAGUCGAUACAUCAAUUAAAAUUAUAAAAUAUCUAAAUGGUCCACAUGGUGGAUGUAUGAAUCCACAUAUGUCACCCUGAAUAUGUUUCAAAAAUAUAGAAGAUUCAGUACCAACUUUAAUUAGUGAUGGCCUUAAAAUUUAUUUGCCUUAAGAGCAAGCAACACAUGAGUAUUUCAUUAGAUUGAAAAAUCUUCUGGUUUUUCCAUGGAUGAUCACAUUAAUUUUCAAUAAUUUUCAUAUCAUUAUUGAUCCGGGAUGGUCCAACUGAUCAUGUCAAACAUUAAAAUCAUUAGUAAACUUUUGGUUUGCUAUAAUAUGAGUUUCAAUCAUUUUAAUAUUUGUGUAGUGCAAUUCAGAAGACAAAAUAGGUAAUUUUUUUUUCAAUACACACUUCUUCCUCUAGAUAAUAGAUGUAAUACGAGGUAUUAAGUGUCUCUACCAUUCGUUGUCUUAAUAUGAUAUCCAUUCAAACGAAUAUCUUUAAAACUUAAUAAAUUUCUUUGAGACUAAUUAGUAGAAAAUAAUGCAUCCUCUAUUAUGAACUUUGUUCUUUUAUGUAGUAAAAUAUUAACUCUUUCGGAGUCUUCAAUUAAUCUUGUAGUACCAAAUAUUGUAUUGAUAUUAAUUUCUUCCAUUGUAAAAUGGGAAAAAUAUUUCUUGUCGUGAAAUAUAAAGUGCAUUGUAAUACUGUCUAUUAGACAUAUAUUUGCAUCAUUGAUCUUGGAUCUAACCAGAUACAUAUCCAUAUUUUUCUUCAAUAAAAAAAAGAUAUAUAUAUUACAAGUUAACAUAAAACAACAUUAAAUUGAGAAUUAAAACACAAAAUAAGAACAUAUCUUUUAAAUAUAAUGAGGACCUAUAAAAACAUCUUCAUAAUAGAGUUAUACUAAAAUAUACCAACAAACUAUUAAGAAAUUUCAUUCUUGGAUAUUUCCAUUACUAAUCAAAUUAUCAAUUCCUUUGUUAAGGUGGAUAUGAAAAUCAACAAUGGAUAUUUCUAUUACUGAUCAUAUGAUCAAUUCUUUUUUAGCGUGGACUAGAAAAUCAACAAUAUUUUGAUGUGUUAUAUCAACUUGGCUAUGGUUAGCUUUUAGUGAUGCUUGAUAAAAUUCAAGUUGUACAACCGGUACAUGAUCAAUGGCCUUUCAUGCCACAUCGAUGAUAAGAUAUUUUUUAUAUAUUUUUUAUUCUAUACAUUUUUAUCUUUUUGUUAUAUCUCUUUACUAUUCACCCACUAUUAGUUGGUUAAAAGUAUUCAUCCAUUUCAUUAAAAGUAUGCAUCCACUUCUAGUGGGAUAAAAUUAUUCUUAGAAUUAGAAUAGUGAUUACUGUAAAUUAUUAUGACGACUUCUUUCAUGUUCAUGACCAUAAUUGUUAAAUGACGUCGCAUUCACUUUAAGAAAUGGACAUAUUCAUGAUUUUUUGUUAGUAGCUAUAUAAUAGUAAAUUCACUUUUCAAUUAAGGGACAAAAUAUAAUAUAUAUUACAUAAUAGUAAAAUUCAUAUUAAGGUUAAUUUUUAGGGAAUGAAAACACUAAAGAGAUAUAAAGUCACUCAUUUGAUUUGUUAUAACCAAAAACUAAAGACCAACCAUUUAAAUCCUUUUAAAGCUUGGAGAUGAUGAAAACAAAAUAAUACCAACACUUACCUAAUUUACUAAAACCAGAAAUCAAAACCCAAUCAUUGAAAUAUUUUUGAAGCUUGAAGAUAACGAAAACAAAAUAAUACUAAAACUUGAGAGAUUAGGGAAUCAUUACAAAAAAAACAUGUUUUUUCCGACGAAAAAUAUUUCGUUGGAAAUUUCCAACGGAUAUCAAUCCAAAGUUGUUAUAGUUUUUUUGACGGAUUUCCGACGUGUUGAGUGUUGGUAUUAGUAAAUUAGGUAAAUUAGGUUUUAAAGCUUGAAAAUUAGGUUUUGAAGAUAUCCAAAAUUUGAAAGCAAGUCCAGCAUGCUUGAGUCACCUGUUGGCCGCUACUUCUUGCCUCACGGUUCUGAUAUCUGCACGCAUUGCCCUCUCGUCCUUCAGCUCUUCCAAACCAAGCGUAAACUUGAUGGCUCUGAGGAGGAGUAUGGCGAGUUUCUUCACUUGCCUAAAAAGCGCUUCUAUGAUUUUUAUGAGAUUUGCAGGGAGAUUCAUGUUCUUUAUUGCUUGUUUUUAUGAUUGAGAAGCUCAAAUGUUAGGCAUUUUGAUUAUUCAAUUUGAAAAGGUUUUUAUUAUAGGGUUUUUAUGAAGUUAGGCAUUUUUGAAUUUUUUUUUGCUGACUGGUUGCUUAAGGACUAUUAAAAUUGUGAGAUAAAUUUUGAAGCAAGAAAUAGAUUAAUUAGAUGAUACGUGAAAGAAUUAAUAAGAUGCCCAAUAAGUUGUGAUUAGGGAAAUUGAAAGCUUGCCAAAAGGAAUAAUUAGGCUUUAGGUGAUAAUGAUGCUGAAAUUCACUACAUUGAAGUUUUUAGGGUUUAGGUAGAUAAUUACUUAACUAGUAAAGAGAAUCACUUAAUUUAGAUGUUCUUGGCUAAGGAUCUCAUAUAUAUUUCUUCUCUCUCCCCCAAGCUCUUUGACAAACUCUAGCCUUUUAUUGCUGCUUGCAAGUGUUUUUUUUUUAAAAAGUAUUGCUUGCAAGUUAUAAUAGUUUUUAUGAGAUCAAGAAAGCAUGUUUAUAAUUUGUGGAGUUAAAGGAAAUGAAAAUGUCCUUGCAUUAAGUAAAUCUCAAUUGACUGCAGGUUGAGAUAGAUAGGGAGGCUUGAGGAAACAAAGGUGUGUCAGACAAGCAGAUUCGACUUAAGAUUUUCUCACCAAUUGUUCUUGAUAUCACUUUUGUGGAUCUUCCUGGAAUCACAAAGGUUCCUGUGGGUGACCAGCCCUCUGACAUUGAAGCUCGAAUUAUAACAAUGAUCAUGUCUUACAUUAAACAGCCAAAUUGUCUGAUUCUAGUUGUAACUUCACCAAAUUCAGACUUAACAAAUUCUGAUGCACUGCAAAUUGCAGGAAAUGCUGAUCCUUAUGGUAAUUUUAACUAUCAAAAUUCCAAUUUCUGUAUUGAGUUGUUGUUUGAUAUUUAUUUAAUUGAAUCAUUUUGCUAAUUUUAUGUUGGUAGGUUAUAGAACCAUUGGCAUAAUCACAAAGGUGCAAAUUUUAACUUGAAAUUCUCUUUUCCAGAUUAUGGUACGACUUAUAUGUAAGCUGUUCUAAAUUUCUGAUUAGUUUUGGCUUAUUUGUAUGUGAACUUAUUGGAUAUAACGAAAUUAUUUCCAUCGAAAUUUUUCGUCGAAAAAUACAAAAAAUUUCAUUGAAAAUUUCCAAUGGAAUUCGAAAGAGAUACCCGACCAAAAUCAGAUUUUUCCAACGAAAAUUUCCAACAGAUUUCCAACGAAAAAGUAUUACCGACGGGGUUUUUACCAACAAAAUUUUCAACGGAUUUUUCCAUUGAAAAUCCAUUGGAAAUAGACAUUUCCAACGAAAAUUAGCCUUUUUCGAACAGAAUUUUUCGUUGGAAAAAGGCAUUUUUUUGGUAGUGAAUCGUGUUGAUAACGUGAUAUGAAAUAUAACUUGAAGGAACAACUAUUUAUAGGUUAAUAACCCCAUAUCUAGAUAGAAUUAGAGAGAGAGCAAGUAUUUAGAAGGAGUAAAAGAUCUUAUUCAAAUGUGUAUUUACAAAUAAAGUGAAGGGCCUAUGUAUAGGUUAAUAACCCUUUAUCUAGAUAGAAUUUACAAGAUAAAAAUAAUAUUAAGAGAUUAGAUAGAUGGAUUAAAUUCUAAUUUUAAUCCAAUCUAAUCUACAUCCAAAUCUAGAUAUACGUAACAUAAAUGAACAUUUACAAAAAUAUUCAUAACAAUUAAAAAUAUAUUUAUUCUUUUUAGUUUGGAAAAACGCCUUCCUACUUCCAUCAUUAGAAAACAGACUCAUCCUCUUGAAAAAAUAAUAUAGUGUUAAUAAAAUUACAAACAUUUCCUAUGUUGUUUAUCUAUUUAUUUUUGCCUUUUUCACUUUUCAUCUUUUGUUUUACACAAGAUUUUUUUUACUUGAAUUAUGAUAUUUAGUUAGUUGUGAAAUUAUCUAUAAUUAUUAACAAAUUGAAUUUUAAUUUAAUUUAUUUUCUAAUUCAAAUACAUAUAAAAUAUUUGAAACUUAUCUAUCAAUUAUAUCUAAAUUAAAAUUUUCUUUCAAUAAAAAUAUCUUAAUUAACAUUGAGAUGAAUGUAUUAAAUUAUCUUCAGUUAUAAUAAAUUACCAUUAAUUUGAAAAGUAAAUUAGUAAUAAAGAAAUUGAUUAAUACAAAAAAAGAGAAAUGAAAAAAAAGGGAAGGAAAAUGAGAAAAAAAAAAGAAAAAACAAAGUGAGAUUGCUUUUAAUAUUUGAAGUAAACUUUGAAAAAAAAUUAGCUUGACUAAUAGUAUCCUAAUAUCAAUUACCUUUUUAUAAGAGAUAACAAUGUUUUUCAAAUUAACGGGAGUAAGUUUAUUUUCAAUAAAAUUUCAUGUAUAACAAUUAGUUUUCCUAAUUGAAUUAUAUAUAAUUUAAUAUCUAACACAUAGUUUAAUUAUAAUUUUAUCUAAUUAAAAUUUAUUUUGAUAGUAAUUAAAGAUUAUUUCAAAAUUAAUUAGAUCAUUCAAUUGUAUUUCUAAUUAAUUUAAACUCACAAUUUUGUCACUAUAAAUAAAAGAUAAAAAUAAAAUAUAGAUAGAAACUAAAUAAUAAAGAGUAUACUAGUCUUUUUAUUUUAAAAUUGGUAAUUGAUAAAGGUGAAAGGGUAUUUUUCAAAUUAAUAGAAAAUACAUAUAUUUUCAAACAAAUUUCAAGGGUUUUUUGUAUUUAACCCAUUUAUACUACUUAUAUAAGGUCUUAAAAAGAGAGAAAAAAAAAGAAAUAAAUCAUAUUAUAUACUAAUGAGGUCUUAAAAAUGGGAAAAAAAGAUAAAAUUGAGAAAGAAUUGGUGUAUUAUGUUAGGUUACUAACAAGGCAGUAAUAAAUGCAUGUCGUUGCCACUCGUGCUCUACAGUAGAUACAUAUACAUGUAUAGAAGAAUGAAAAAUGUGUAAUAAAAAUGGAGAGAAAAGAGUGAGUGAGGAGACGAAAUAGGAGCCCAUAAUCACAAAUUCAAAAUGGAAGUGCAAAGGAAUAAUUUAAACUUGUUCAUAUUGUAACCUCCGAUUUAUCGGUUUAAGAAAAUCACAUUUUUCUCAAGCAUAACUCCAUAAUGAAUGGAAUCUCUUUUCUUUUUGAUUUUACAGUAAUAAUUAAUAAAUUACUGUGUGGUUGGGUUUUGGAGAUUUUGAUGGAACUUAUGAUAGUGGGAAAGGAUUUUUCUCAUGGACCCAUUUUCAAAAGUCCAAUGGAGGGGAUUGACAAAGCAAAAUUGAAAAAGAAUAUUUUUCUGUCAUUGUGACGUAUCUUAUGCUAUCAUGUUAUAUUUAUGAUUCCUUCCAUAUCUUAUUUUAAAAUUUUAAUAGGUAUGAUUUUUUUUGGAGGAAAUAUAUCAAGUCGAUCACCGGGACUUUUCAUGUUUGUAUAAGGUACUAUUAUUAUAUUUUUCUCUGACAAAGCAAAAUUAGUUAUGUUAAUUUAUAGAAGUUGUAAUAUAUAAUUUCUCUAUACCAUAAGACUACUAAUUUCUAUGUGAAUGGAAUUAAAAUUAAGAUAUUAAAAUGGUUUAAUUCCCAUUGUAUUGUUUGUUAAUUUGAAUCUUUCUUUCCAUAUAUAGAACUCUAGUGGUUUGUGCUUAACUGACCUAGCAUUUUCACCUUAUCUUAGGCAUUGUUGAUUCACAAAAAGUUUUGGAAUAAAUAAAUUGAGAGACAUUGUGACGAAAAUGGCUACACAAAAAAAUUGAGAUAUUAUCAUCAUCUUUUUGAAUGUUUAAGUAGAGUAUUAACAUUGAGAAUACAAUGUAGUUAGUUUAUCUAGACUUUUGCUCUAUGUGGUAGUUAGUCUUGCCUUACCAAGGUUUUGUCCCAUCCUUUUGGAUUAGAGGUUUGGGAGGUUUUGUUUAUUUCUUGUAAGGCUUGGUGCAUUUCAGCUUUGUUGGGAUGGCAGAAGAUAUCAAGGCAAGUGGGGUAAACUUUUGUUAAUAAAGGAAGAGCAAACUGAAGUCAUUGUUGAAAAAGAAUGAGGCACUGUGGUGUUUGCAUCAUUAUUUGAGCUCAUUAUGCUCUAGAGUUCUUAAUGUCAAGUAUUUUUCGAAUUUCUCAUUUUAAGAUGCAUGGCAUAACAUUUUGGAAAGGAGGGACACGAUUACGGUUGGCUCGUAUGGAGAGUGAGUGUAGAUGCUUGAUUUUGGCUAGGAAUAUAUUAUCUUUUUAAUAUUAUAUUAAAUUAUUUUACAAUGAUCAUAUUACUAUACAACGAGUAAUGAGGGUGAACAGAAUGAGUAGCACAACUACAUUAUUAUGGAUGAUAGUCAAAUUAACUUUAGACGAGUAGUAGGGUUCACAACUUAGUUUCAUCAUUAUGAUAAUUUAAAGAGUUUGACUUGGUGGCUAAAAUAUGAAAAUAGUUAUACAGGCCUUUUUCUUAAUCUUUUUGUAUAAGUACGAGUGCUUUUCCCUUUUCCUCUUCCCUCAAGAAGAAGUAACACUUUUAGUGUCAUGAAACCACACUAUGCCAUUACUUGUAUAAACAUCUACUAGAAUCCACUAUCCCAUACAAAAUAUGGGUAACGUGUUUCUCCCCAUUGUGCACAUUAAACUCUUUUUCAAGUAAAUGCUCUUGAGUUACUACUCCAACUUGGUUUAUAAAUAAGAGCUUUGAGAAUUCAUUCACGGAUUUUGCUUUCCUUUCUAAGUUCUCUCUAAACACUUCCUCUUCAAUUAUCUCAUACUUAGCUUUUCCCUAGCCUUAUUCUUUGUCUUGCUCUGUUGCUUCCUUAUUCUCUACAUUUUUUCCAUCAUUACUUGCUACAACAUUCAACAUUUCAAAGAUUACUUUAAUUUUCUUCUCUGUCACCUCCCAACAGAUCUUGUUUUACUUAUUUGUAACACUAUUUUCUCCCUAUCACUAAAAACCCCUUUACAUUUUGGUGACUCCAUUAAGGAGGAGUGCUUGCGCUAAUUAAAGUCUCAUAAAAACAAACCUUGCACUAGUGGAAAAUAUGGACGGUUCCUACAAAGAGUAAGAUGCAUUUGAACCUACAUACAUCUAAGACUUGAUGAAAAUGCUUUAGGCUUCUUAAGAAUAUAUGCAAAUAUUGAAGGAUAACAAUAAGCAAUCUCAAGCUCAACCUGCGCAUCUUAAUGGUAGCAAAAAUGUAACUAAUGGAACCACCCCCAACUAUAAACACAAAAGGGAAUGGAGAAAGUAUUGGUGAUGUGGUAGUUGUCAAAAAUCCCAAUAUGACUAAUCCCUUUAUUAUUGUAACUUUCUUGUAGUCACUCUGGUAACCACUGCUUAAAGCUUUGUGAUCAAAUAAAAACUCUAAAAGCUGCAUGAUCAGAAGAAUAAAAGCUUGAACAUUUAGGUGUUUGACUUUAUCUAGCCAUUGUAGCAAUUAAUCCAUACCCUAAAAGCUACUUAUGUCCUAAGUUCGAGAAAUUCAAUGUUAUGAUCAGGGAUGCUUGAGAGAAUGUAAUGAAGUUUUUAGGAACUCUCAGAGUAAUGGGAUUAGAUGAUGAUCUCAAAUUGAAGGAGUUUUCAAAGUUUCUUACUAUUGACUCCAUAUGUUUUUGAUAAUAAUAAAACAUUCCUCAUUCUUUAAUUUUUAACUAUGUUACUCGAGUGUGUAAGGGUAAAAUGGGUAUAUUAAUGUUUAUCUCAUAUCCAAAUUCCCCAUGAUAAGUCCCAAGCCCAAAGAAAAUGAUUCUAGCAAGAUGAAAGCCAUCUCAUGAGGUUUAAUCGAUCAUAAUUUCAUCUUAAUCGACGAAAACAGUAAAAAAGGAAGACUUAAAAGCUUCAUAGAGAGAUUUUAAUCGAUUAAUAUACAGUUUAAUCGAUUAAAAUAACAUUGGAAUGGACUUUGAGAAGGAGAGAGAGGUUUUAAUCAAUUAGCACAUAUUUUAAUCGAUUAAAACAACAUUGUAAUGCACACUGAGACAAGUAAAGAGAUUUUAAUCGAUUAACACAAAAUUUAAUAAAUUAAAAUAGUACUGGAAGAUGAUGCACACAAAGUUAAUUGAUUAACCAUAGGGUUUAAUUGAUUAAAAUUUAAUAUGAAGAUAUUUUGUGCCAAAAUUGAGGAUUCAAGUUUUUGUUAACCGUUGAAGGGUACCAAGUGAAGAAGUUUGAACCCAAGGAGAUUUUAAUUGAUCAAAAUUUAGUUUAAUUGAUCAAAGAAGAAAUAAAGAGCUUUUAAUCAAUCAAAGACAAGUUUAAAUGAUUAAGUUGGAGCAAUGGGGACGAUAGAAUGAUUUUAAUAGAUUAAAACCAGUUUUAAUUGAUUAACUUGAAGAAACUAAAAGACAAAUAAAAAGAUUUUAAUUGGUUAAAAUCCAUUUUAAUCGACUAAAAUGUCAAACAUAUUUGAAUUUAAUGCCCCUAAAAGACAAAUUAAUGGGUUGAUUGGCUUCAAAUUAUCUGCGACAAUCUGAUUUCACUCUUCAAGUAUAAAUAAGGGUUUAAAUAGUCAUAAAUAUAUUGUUGGCUCCAUUAGUUUUUGAUGAUAAUAAAAAAUUUCCAUUUAUUUAUGUCUAAUAUCUUUACUUGAGUGUGUAGGAAAAUUAAUAUAUGAAAUUAAUUAUUUAACUCUUCAAAGAUUAUAUCAAAAGAAAAAGAGGGAUAAAAAUAACAAGAUGUAACUGUUUAACAAGGAAGAAGCCUAUUGGUGAAACAAGGAAGAAUGUUGGUUGACCAAGUUUCAAAUUGGAAGAAUGGCAGGCUGAAGAGUUUGAGAAACAGAACCAACUUAAUCGACCAAGUCAGUCGACUAAGUGCUCUAUGUUAGAAUCUGCAACUUGAAACAGAACCAACUUAGUAGACCAACUCAGUUGACUAAGUGCUCUUUGUCUGCAAAUUGAACCAGAGCACUACAAGACAGAUUAACGGUUAGAACUCAUCCUCAACUGUUUCCAACGGGCAUAAAAUUACCAAAUUGCCAUCAGAGUUGCAUCUCUAACUAUAAAAGGGUCUUCCAACAAUUAGAAACAAGUUUUUUAGAAGCCUUGAAUGAGAUUUGAGCUAUGGAGAGUUGAAAAACCAGAAAAUCUUCACUGCACUUGUCUGCACUUAAACACCUACUCUUUGCAUUUGUAUUUUGCACUCAAUCUUGUACCAAUUAGAUCAACCAGUGAUCACAGGUACUUUCUUUUACUACUCUUCUUGUAUUCUUAGAGUGAGGAAGUCACUCUAAGGGGUUGUUCAAGCUUGGGAUAGCUUGAUUAUUGUAGGUUGUGGUUGAGCCUUUGAAAAAUCACUUUGGGUUUUGGUUGAGCCCGUGAAAAACCAUUGUGAAAGGUUGUGGUUGAGCUUGUGAAAAACCACUUUGGAUUUUGGUUGAUCCUGGUAAAAACCAUUGUGAAAGGUUUUGGCUAGGCUUGGUAAAAGCCAUUGUAAAGCUUAGUGAAAGCUUGUGAAUUUCACCGGUUAUUAGUGGAUUGUUUGGAAAAUCCUUGGUUGAACAAUCAAGGUAGUGGAUAUAGGUCUUGGAUCGAAUUACUAUAAAUAGCCGUGUGUUUGUCUGUUCUGUUUUCAGUUUUUAUUCAUCUUUAAGUUCUUUCUUUUAUUGUGCAUUUAUCUCUAAUUAGAGGUUUGUCAAGCUCAGCUUUACAAUAUGUUUAUUAUGUCAUUCCUACAUAAGAAUGCAUGUUUGCUUACUUGGGUACCUCGAAAAUCGUUAAAGAACGACAAUGUACCAAAUAGUACAACUAAGUUGAUUUAAGCCUUGAACUAGUCCAUAUAGAGAUUUUAAGAUGAAAUUGAGAAUUUUAAAACCCCAUAAUCACUUAAAAUGGUGAUUCGGAGUUCGAGGACCGAUUUGAAGUCAAAUUAGAAUUUUCAUAACCUAGGGGCAAAAUGGUCAUUUUUCCAGUCGAGGUUAAAAUUGGAAUGUUGGAAGAAGUUUUUGAUCAAGAUUGACUAUUUAGAACAUAAUUUGAGUUUGAGAAGUGAAAAAUUUUAAUUCCGACAUUUUUCCAAGCAUAAGGGAAAAAUAGUCAUUUUGCCACCCUAGGGGUAAAAUUGUAAUUUUACACCACCCAACACUUGUCCAGCACAUGGAUUUUACCCAAUAUUAUCAUGGAUAAUUGAGAAAAUUUAAGUGGUGGAGAGAGAUUGCUUAAUGGGUAAGUAUGACACAUGGACCAAUGGAAUGGUGACAUGUGUCAAAUUUUCAUCCAUUUAUUAUUUAGCUUAAAAAUUAGCACAAAAUCAGCCCAUUUCUCUUCAUAUGGCCGGCCAAAGCAAGAACAAAGGAAGAAAAGAAAGAAAAAGAACCCUAGGGUGAAAAUUCAAGAGAAAAUUGGUGGACUUCAAGUAAUCAAGCAAUCAAAGGUAAAAUUUCUUGAUUUUGACUUGUGAUCUACCUUUCCCAUACAGUCUUUUGCAUUUUUCAUGGUUGAAUCACAUGAUUUCAUGAUGGGUAUCUUGCUGGCUGAACACUUAGAGAGAGGUUUUGAUGCUUGAUUUGGUUAGAUUUCAAUGUAUUUUAGUGUUUUUAGUUGAUUGGUGAUGUGUAGCAUGAAAAUCAAGCAAGAAAAAUUCAUGUUCUUCCAUCACCCAUCAUUGGCCGAAUUCUCCAUAUAGAAUAUUGAUGAUGAUUUUGAUUUUUAUUCAAGUGAUUUGGUUAGGAAUUAGUGAUUUAUGGUGCGAGAAUCAAGCUUGAAAAAUUAUAGUGUUGAUGCACCCACCAUGGCCGAAUUUUCAAGAGAAAAUGUGAGGAUGAUUUUGCCAUAGUUCAAGUUAUUUGAUUUGUGUUUGAUGAUUUGGAGAAUUGGAAGAAAAAUGGGGUUAAUUGGAGUUGAAUUGGACGUAUUGACCAAUUAAUCGGGUGAUAGAUCGAAUUAGGCCAAUACCAUUUUAUUUAGGUACAUAAUUGAAUUUAUAUUGAACACCGUGUUUAGACGAUAAUCCGAACAAUUUACAUCUCAUUUCAUGCAUUAGUAAAGAACCUGAAAUAGAUUUAUAAUGGUAUGACACAGUAUAUUGAAUUAUGUGUCAUGUAUUGUAUAUAGGUGGUGAAUCCUCCGAUAAAAGCAAAGAAAUUGUACUUGAGGAUCGAUAGUCGGAGUACUUUAAAAAUUUGACUCUCGAUAUAGUGAGUAACCUUACUAUUGUCUUAAAUAUUUAAAGUGGUUUUUAUCCGAUUUUGUGAUUUUAUGAAAAAUGAGUUUAAAUGGUAAAUCUUUAUAUUUUAAAAGAAAAAUGUGAUUAAAUGAUAUGAUUUUAUAAAAUUGUCUUGAAAUUGAAUGAUGGUUUUGGAAAAUUGAGUAAUUGGAGACUAAUUGUUGUGUUAUAAAUCAUGGUUUGAAUUGAAUGGCUUAUGAUAAUAUUUGCUUGAAUGGUUGAAUUGGAAAUUAUGUUGAAAAUGUAUGAACUGUUGAUUUGCCUUGAGAGGCUAUAAAAUAAAAUAAUUGUCAUGUUAUGCUUUUGAAAAUUUUAUUGAAUUGGUGGGUUAUAUAUUGGUCACUGCAGUGGACGAGUUUCGUGGACCAGCCUAUUAAAGGGGCACGGUAACCCUAUUAUAUUCUUACCUCAUUAUGAGAGGCGCGGAUGGAUAACUCCUGAGGUUAACACUUUAGAGUUCACUUCACGCUAAACCACCAUGUGAGGGUGAACUCAGCAAAUGCCAAGGAACGGCUAUGUUUUCAAAGUAAAAACAUGAUUUAUACGUACAUGACUUUUUAAUAGCCUUGGUGGACUCGAUUGGGAUAGCUCUCGGCCAAGGUAUCCUUGAUAACUGAGUAUGAGAAUGAUUUUAGCACGAGCCAAAGUUUUAAGAAAUUCAUAAGCCAUGUUGAUUACUCAAUUUAUAUGAAUUGAUUUUAUUUGGUUGAAAUGAGUUGAAAGGUGAUGAAUUACAGUAUGUUAAACUAUUUUAUUUGUCUCCAUUUACUCAGCUUUAGAUAUUUUAGAUGGUAUUUGUUUGCUCACUGGGAUUAUAUAAUCUCAUCACCCUUAUUUUCACCCAUUUAAAG
rnacentral:lncRNA from 1 species